rnacentral:rRNA from 1 species
GUCGAGGGGCAUCAGUUUGGUUUGCUUGCAACCAAAGCUGGCGACCGGCGCACGGGUGAGUAACACGUAUCCAACCUGCCUCAUACUCGGGGAUAGCCUUUCGAAAGAAAGAUUAAUAUCCGAUAGCAUAUAUUUCCCGCAUGGGUUUUAUAUUAAAGAAAUUCGGUAUGAGAUGGGGAUGCGUUCCAUUAGUUUGUUGGUGGGGUAACGGCCCACCAAGACUACGAUGGAUAGGGGUUCUGAGAGGAAGGUCCCCCACAUUGGAACUGAGACACGGUCCAAACUCCUACGGGAGGCAGCAGUGAGGAAUAUUGGUCAAUGGACGCGAGUCUGAACCAGCCAAGUAGCGUGAAGGAUGACUGCCCUAUGGGUUGUAAACUUCUUUUAUAUGGGAAUAAAGUGGUCCACGUGUGGAUUUUUGUAUGUACCAUAUGAAUAAGGAUCGGCUAACUCCGUGCCAGCAGCCGCGGUAAUACGGAGGAUCCGAGCGUUAUCCGGAUUUAUUGGGUUUAAAGGGAGCGUAGGCGGAUUGUUAAGUCAGUUGUGAAAGUUUGCGGCUCAACCGUAAAAUUGCAGUUGAUACUGGCAGUCUUGAGUGCAGUAGAGGUGGGCGGAAUUCGUGGUGUAGCGGUGAAAUGCUUAGAUAUCACGAAGAACUCCGAUUGCGAAGGCAGCUCACUGGAGUGUAACUGACGCUGAUGCUCGAAAGUGUGGGUAUCAAACAGGAUUAGAUACCCUGGUAGUCCACACAGUAAACGAUGAAUACUCGCUGUUUGCGAUAUACAGUAAGCG